rnacentral:rRNA from 1 species
CCUACGGGGUGCAGCAGUGGGGAAUAUUGGACAAUGGGCGAAAGCCUGAUCCAGCCAUACCGCGUGUGUGAAGAAGGCCUUCGGGUUGUAAAGCACUUUCAGUGGGGAAGAAAGCCUUGGGGCUAAUACCCUCGAGGAAGGACAUCACCCACAGAAGAAGCACCGGCUAACUCCGUGCCAGCAGCCGCGGUAAUACGGAGGGUGCGAGCGUUAAUCGGAAUUACUGGGCGUAAAGCGCGCGUAGGCGGUCUGAUAAGCCGGUUGUGAAAGCCCCGGGCUCAACCUGGGAACGGCAUCCGGAACUGUCAGGCUAGAGUGCAGGAGAGGAAGGUAGAAUUCCCGGUGUAGCGGUGAAAUGCGUAGAGAUCGGGAGGAAUACCAGUGGCGAAGGCGGCCUUCUGGACUGACACUGACGCUGAGGUGCGAAAGCGUGGGUAGCAAACAGGAUUAGAUACCCCUGUAGUC